GCCACGGUGGUCUAGGUUAGAACGCUGGCCUUGUAAUCCUGGGGUCUCGGGUUCGAUUCCCGGCUGUGCCC
rnacentral:tRNA from 1 species